CCUACGGGAGGCAGCAGUGAGGAAUAUUGGUCAAUGGGCGUAAGCCUGAACCAGCCAAGUCGCGUGAGGGAUGAAGGUUCUAUGGAUCGUAAACCUCUUUUAUAAGGGAAUAAAGUGUGGGACGUGUCCUGUUUUGUAUGUACCUUAUGAAUAAGGAUCGGCUAACUCCGUGCCAGCAGCCGCGGUAAUACGGAGGAUCCGAGCGUUAUCCGGAUUUAUUGGGUUUAAAGGGUGCGUAGGCGGCCUUUUAAGUCAGCGGUGAAAGUCUGUGGCUCAACCAUAGAAUUGCCGUUGAAACUGGGAGGCUUGAGUAUGUUUGAGGCAGGCGGAAUGGGUGGUGUAGCGGUGAAAUGCUUAGAUAUCACGCAGAACCCCGAUUGCGAAGGCAGCCUGCCAAGCCAUGACCGACGCUGAUGCACGAAAGCGUGGGGAUCAAACAGGAUUAGAUACCCCAGUAGUC
rnacentral:rRNA from 1 species